UGAGAGAGUGAACGGCCACAUUUGGACUGAGACACGGCCCAAACUCCUACGGGAGGCAGCAGUGGGGAAUAUUGCACAAUGGGGAAACCCUGAUGCAGCGACGCCGCGUGAAGGAAGAAGUAUUUCGGUAUGUAAACUUCUAUCAGCAGGGAAGAUAAUGACGUACCUGACUAAGAAGCUCCCGCUAAAUACGUGCCAGCAGCCGC
rnacentral:rRNA from 1 species